rnacentral:rRNA from 1 species
GAUGAACGCUGGCGGCGUGCCUAAUACAUGCAAGUCGAGCGAACAGACGAGGAGCUUGCUUCUCUGACGUUAGCGGCGGACGGGUGAGUAACACGUGGAUAACCUACCUAUAAGACUGGGAUAACUUCGGGAAACCGGAGCUAAUACCGGAUAAUAUUUUGAACCGCAUGGUUCAAUAGUGAAAGACGGUCUUGCUGUCACUUAUAGAUGGAUCCGCGCUGCAUUAGCUAGUUGGUAAGGUAACGGCUUACCAAGGCAACGAUGCAUAGCCGACCUGAGAGGGGGAUCGGCCACACUGGAACUGAGACACGGUCCAGACUCCUACGGGAGGCAGCAGUAGGGAAUCUUCCGCAAUGGGCGAAAGCCUGACGGAGCAACGCCGAGUGAGUGAUGAAGGUCUUCGGAUCGUAAAACUCUGUUAUUAGGGAAGAACAGAUGUGUAAGUAACUGUGCACAUAUUGACGGUACCUAAUCAGAAAGCCACGGCUAACUACGUG